UACGGGGGGGGCAAGCGUUGUUCGGAAUUACUGGGCGUAAAGGGCUCGUAGGCGGCCAACUAAGUCAGACGUGAAAUCCCUCGGCUUAACCGGGGAACUGCGUCUGAUACUGGAUGGCUUGAGUUUGGGAGAGGGAUGCGGAAUUCCAGGUGUAGCGGUGAAAUGCGUAGAUAGUCUGGAGGAACACCGGUGGCGAAGGCGGCAUCCUGGACCGACACUGACGCUGAGGAGCGAAAGCCAGGGGAGCAAACGGG
rnacentral:rRNA from 1 species